rnacentral:tRNA from 1 species
GUAGUUAUAAUUUAAAUAAAAUAUAAGGUUGUGAUCCUUAUAAUAAAGGUUAAAACCCUUUUAACUACA